AGGGAGGGUGUUUGAUAAAACAAAUACAUUGGUAAAAUGAUUUAGGGUGGCUAGGGAUCUCUUGGUCAGGAGUAUUGCGUGCAUGCAUGAGAACACUCUAUUUGCAUCAGUUUGUUUUCUUCCCUUCAGGCUUUUUGAGUGGAGAGCAUGUAUGACAAAAGCUAGCAGCAUGCAUAAAAAAAGUAGCUCCUUGCCUGUACAUGCAUAUUGUUGAACCUGCUUUCUUUUUGCCCAUUGAUGCAAAAAGUAGGUCCUUGCCUGUACACGCAACAAAACUAUUUUGCAGUGAUCUUGCUAUACCCAUCUCCCGGAUACAUGUCCGUGGCUUCUUUUGCCUCUCCAUUUGCAUCAGUUUGUUCUACAUGCAGAU
rnacentral:lncRNA from 1 species